rnacentral:rRNA from 1 species
UACGUAGGGUGCAAGCGUUGUCCGGAAUUAUUGGGCGUAAAGAGCUCGUAGGCGGUGUGUCACGUCGGCCGUGAAAACCUGCAGCUUAACUGUGGGCGUGCGGUCGAUACGGGCAUCACUGGAGUUCGGCAGGGGAGACUGGAAUUCCUGGUGUAGCGGUGAAAUGCGCAGAUAUCAGGAGGAACACCGGUGGCGAAGGCGGCACUCUGGGCCGGUACUGACGCUGAGGAGCGAAAGCGUGGGGAGCGAACAGG